AUUCACUCCACAGGGUCCAAGGAAUCGUUCAAUAAAUCCUUGAACGGACCAUCGUCCAUUCCUGCCAUCCAUCCUUCCAGCCAAGUAAUCAUCCACUCGUCAAGUGGGUCUUUUAGGACUUGGUUUUAUGUAGGGAACUCCCCCUUCAAAGCAGCCUGCUAGAACACGGGACACUCCGGUUGGCGGAUUAUCUCUGAGAGCCUCUCUUGGAGCUGAAACAACGUACCCCAGGUGUUCUGCCCUCUUCCUAACUCUGCCGCCUGAGGCUGCCAGAGCCCCUCAGGCUGCACCUGCCCCCAGGGCAACCCUGAAAAGAACUGGGGACGAUGACUGGUUUCCACAAAGCUUUCCUGAAGGCGUUUUGCUGCAGAAAGCCUGCUCUAGCAGCCAUGAGCAGGAAGCAUGUGCCCAGGAGCCCAGGACCCCAGGAAAACCAGGACACGCUGAUGGUCGCUCACCGCUUAUUCCUUCAACGGACAUUGACCAAGAAGAGACCGAAGAACAUCACCCUGGCUGCUGCAUACAGAACACUUCAUAGGAGGAAGAGAGCCGAAGCAGGGAAGCCUGCUAGAGCAAACCAGGCAAGAGAUGGCUCGGACCAGUGCAGUAGCAGUGCAGAUGAGAUUACUAUGUGUGCUGUGCUGGCUGCUAAGGGCCGAGUGUGGGACUCGGAACCAGUCCUUUCCUUCCAGGAAACACGGAUGCUCGGAAGAGGAGUGUUGUAGUUCCUGCUGAGGACGCUCAAGGGGAGCCAAUGGAAGCACCCAGUGCUCCAAAGAGAGAGGGCUCUACCCUGGGCAGGGUGCUGCCAGACUUCCUCCCUGAGCCAUCCUCCCCCACACCAUGCUGCCGGCCGGUGGACCCAGGACCAGGCAGCACGUCAGCCAUCUCCACAGCCAACAUUCAGAGGAGGGACCAACCCUGUGGGAAAGGUGGGGACAUGGAGACCAGGGAGAAGCAAAAAAGCCAUGUGCCCCAGUUGGUCUCAAAUGUCAAGGCUGCUCAAGAUUUGAAACUCAGGACUUUCCUCCAUUCUGCCUUCCCCAAACCACAGACCUCCCUUCCUGCUCCCUCUCUGCACUUGCUCCGCUUCCUACCCUACCCACCCCCCAGGUGCUAUUCAGUGACAGUCUGCUCAGUCACAUGCC